rnacentral:rRNA from 1 species
GCACGAUGAGGGGAACCCCGGAAACUGGGGAUAAUACCCCAUAGGUUAGGGUGGCUGGAAUGCCCCCUAGCUCAAAGGUCCGCCGCCACAGGAUGGGUCUGCGGCCGAUUAGGUUGUUGUUGGGGUAACGGCCCAACAAGCCUUUGAUCGGUACGGGUUGUGGGAGCAAGAGCCCGGAGAUGGAUUCUGAGACACGAAUCCAGGCCCUACGGGGCGCAGCAGGCGCGAAAACUUUACAAUGCGAGAAAUCGUGAUAAGGGAACCCCGAGUGCCCGUAAAUUCGGGCUGUCCGCCAGUGCAAAAAACUGGUGAAGAAAGAGCCGGGCAAGACCGGUGCCAGCCGCCGCGGUAAUACCGGCGGCUCGAGUGGUGGCCACUAUUACUGGGCUUAAAGCGUCCGUAGCUUGGUUGUUAAGUCUCCUGGGAAAUCCAUCGGCUCAACCGAUGGGCGUUCAGGAGAUACUGGCAACCUAGGGACCGGGAGAGGUGAGAGGUACUCCAGGGGUAGGAGUGAAAUCCUGUAAUCCUUGGGGGACCACCUGUGGCGAAGGCGUCUCACUAGAACGGCUCCGACAGUGAGGGACGAAAGCUGGGGGAGCAAACCGGAUUAGAUACCCGGGUAGUCCCAGCUGUAAACGAUGCGCGUUAGGUGUAUCGGUGACCACGAGUCACCGAGGUGCCGAAGGGAAACCGUGAAACGUGCCGCCUGGGAAGUACGGUCGCAAGGCUGAAACUUAAAGGAAUUGGCGGGGGAGCAC